UACUUUGAAUUGCAAAAGCCUAAAUAACCUGAUCACCAAAAUUUUUCUACAUUUCUAUGUAACUGUUAUAUACUGAGAGCAGGCAUAUCAACUUCUCAGACUACCAUGUGUUAGGGGUCUUUUGUUGUUGUUUGGAGACUUUACCAAUAUAUUUCACACUAUGAUGUAAUAAUAAAUACCCACAUAUUCAUGUUAGAGUUCAAAUCUGUGUGAACUUCAAGUAAUUCUUAGAUGAAUACUAUACUACAGCCAAUAUAAUAACAUGUGAAAACACAUAUGAACUAUUAUAAAAAUAUUUAUAAUAAAUAAAUAUUUCUUCUCCUAGUCCCUUCUUCUGUUUCUCUCUCUAUCCUCUGUCUUCUUUUCUCCACCCCCCCCUUUUUUUAGAUACCUAAGACCAGAAUUCAGAGGUAAGAGGAUUAAACCACAAAUGGUCAUAACUUAUUUAUAACAUGUGUAAUCUGUGGAUAAUCAAGAGGUGAUGUAAUAAGAUCACAGUGGUGUAGAAGAUUCUGCAUUGAAAUUGAUACCUUGCUUGCUUCCUUGUAGGAACUGAAUAUAAAAUAGUCCUGGAAACAGAUUGUUUGGUCUGAGUAUAUCAUUGAAGACCAUUUCAAAUCAGAUAUUUUCAGGGCAACUCCUCACUCCGCGCUCCCAGUUAUAAGUCUCCAGAGGGUCUGGGAGUUAGAGGGAAAGGGCUGUUUUAAGACAUUCCACAAGUAAUCCUGCAAUGGCCAAGAGGAGAGACAAUUUCACACCUGCCUCUUCAAGUUGACUUUGGACUCCCAUACCUUUUUCCAUUUGGAAUCGCGUCAAUCAGUUUUACAGCUGAAGGCAGUGACGUGCUGACAGAAGGUGAAUGCUACGCGAUCUGCUUUAUGAUUACAUUUGCUGUUUACUGCUCUAAAAGUUUGGAGAAAUUAUUUUCUUUUCAAACUGGGAAUGAAAGCUUCAUAAAUAUUCAUCUCAGUUAAUAAUAUUGUGGGAACCCUGGAUGCCAGAGGUAAGUAGCACUCAGUUCAUGACAUCUUAGCUUGACAAGGGACCAGUUUUCUUAUUUGGGAUGUGAGUCUGUCCUUGAUGUUUAUAAACUGGUUCUUGGAACUUCCUUUCUUCUCAUGACACCAUGAACCAAAAUGUAGUGAUUUGCCUUUUUCCAUCUCAUCCAUGAGAGGUGUUGUCUUUUUUUUUUUCUUUUUUUGGCCUUUUCUUUUCUUCCAAUAAUUUUCCUUCUGUUUCUUAAUUAUUUGGUUCCCACCUCUGUUUAUAGAUUAUAUUCCACCCACUUUAGAAUCCAUACUAUAAAAAUACCCAAAGUUUCAUUUUUGUGUCUGAAGGACACAGUGUUAAAUCUCCAAAUACCAAUAUAUAUUACCUGAGUAGCUAUUGUUACCUGACACCAUUGUCAGAACAGAAUUCAUUUAUGUCUGUCCAAAUCAGCUUUCUUGAUGUUUUUAUAUCAUCACAGUUCUAAACAUAGAUGCAAAAUCUCUGUAUCUUCUAGGUUUAAAAUUUCCUAUUUUUCUUCAUCUAAUUCAAUCAAUUAUUGGUUCUUAUUUUUUGCUUAUAAUGCUCUUAAAAUUUCUUUUUCCUAGAAUGGUUGAAGAAUUAUAUUUAAAAACUGGGAAUAUUAACAUCUUAAACUUAUGCUUAAAUGAUAUAAUGGCCAGCCUCCAAGAUGGCUCCCAAUGCUAUCCACAUCUUAUGUUCAUGUCCUUAUGUGAUUUGUUUCCACGUUUCAUUAGGCUAAGUUUGAGUGGUAAAUAGAACUCAGCAGAAUUGAUUGUGUGUCACUUCUGAGAUUCUGUCAUAAAAGACACUACAGUUUCCAUCCUGGCCAUGCUUUUUCUCAUGCCUUUUCCUCUUGACUCAUUUCCACCAUGAGAUAAAAAACUCUACAGAGAAGUCCAUGUGGCAACUGGUCUGAGACUACUGUCCAAAGCCAGUGGAGACCUACUGCCGGCAGUCAAGUGAGUGAGU